rnacentral:rRNA from 1 species
AGUGAACGCUGGCGGUAGGCCUAACACAUGCAAGUCGAACGGCAGCACAGUAAGAGCUUGCUCUUACGGGUGGCGAGUGGCGGACGGGUGAGGAAUACAUCGGAAUCUACUUUUUCGUGGGGGAUAACGUAGGGAAACUUACGCUAAUACCGCAUACGACCUACGGGUGAAAGCAGGGGAUCUUCGGACCUUGCGCGAUUGAAUGAGCCGAUGUCGGAUUAGCUAGUUGGCGGGGUAAAGGACCACCAAGGCGACGAUCCGUAGCUGGUCUGAGAGGAUGAUCAGCCACACUGGAACUGAGACACGUUCCAGACUCCUACGGGAGGCAGCAGUGGGGAAUAUUGGACAAUGGGCGCAAGCCUGAUCCAGCCAUACCGCGUGGGUGAAGAAGGCCUUCGGGUUGUAAAGCCCUUUUGUUGGGAAAGAAAAGCAGCAGGUUAAUACCCCGCUGUUCUGACGGUACCCAAAGAAUAAGCACCGGCUAACUUCGUG